rnacentral:rRNA from 1 species
AACGUGCCCAGUCGUGGGGGAUAACGCAGUGAAAGCUGUGCUAAUACCGCAUACGAUCUCUGGAUGAAAGCGGGGGACUCGGCAACGAGCCUCGCGCGAUUGGAGCGGCCGAUAUCAGAUUAGCUAGUUGGUGGGGUAAAAGCCCACCAAGGCGACGAUCUGUAGCUGGUCUGAGAGGACGACCAGCCACACUGGAACUGAGACACGGUCCAGACUCCUACGGGAGGCAGCAGUGGGGAAUUUUGGACAAUGGGCGCAAGCCUGAUCCAGCAAUGCCGCGUGCAG